GCGNGUGCUAUACAUGCAGUCGUACGAUGGUAGUCCNGAUANGAUUUGGGGUCGAACUCUUUGGGGGGACGGGAGGGGGGUGCAAAGCCCCGGAACGUUUUCCCCGGGGGGGGGUGAACCCCGAGGGAAAAGAAUCCGACUUCCUGCUAAUAAAUUAUAACCCCAAAACCCAAAUGGUUGUUGGUUUAAAAUGGUUCUGCCCUCCUAGGAUGGGGACCCGCUGUGCUGCCAUUGGUGGUAAGGUAACGGCCUACCAAGGCAGGGAUGCAUAAUUUAGUUGAUCCCCCCCUUCCUCCCGUGUGACUGAGACACGGCCCUACUCCUACCGGAGGCUGGUGGGGGAAUCUUCACAGGGGGGGCUCGCCUGAGGGAUUAACCCCACGUGUGUGAUGAAGGGUUUCGGCUCACCAAACACCGUCUUAAAACAUGAACCCCAAUGGAACUACCUGUUUCUUGGGUUACGGUAGCUUGCCAAAAACGGACAGGGGUCUUCGUGCCAGCUCCCACUGAAAUACAUGUGUUCCCGGCUGUGUCGGGACCUAUUGAUUGCAUUGAGAUUCCACACUGCUAUUUAACUCCCAAGUGAAAGCCCUCAACUCAACUGAUGAAUGGCUUUGGGGACUGGAUGACUUGAGUGCUAAAAUGAAAGUUUAACUCCAUGUGUAACGGGGAAAUGCAUACAUAUAUGGAACAACACCAUUGGAGCUCGCCGCUUUCUGGACUGCAAAAGACCCUCAUGCUCGAAAGUGUGUGUAGCAAACACGACGACAUACCCUGGUACCCACACGUACACUAUGAUGUUGGAGUUCAAGGGUCCCGUUCUGAGCGAUUCUCUAUGAUUAAGCGCUUUCCUGCGACUACAUAACAGGUUGAAUCUCAUAGANCGAUAGACCGAUACAGCUUGGAACUACGUUGUACACUGCAGCAGCCCGANUNAUCCNA
rnacentral:rRNA from 1 species